rnacentral:misc_RNA from 1 species
UAGAGUGUUACAACUCCCUAAACCAUUGUGAACCUACCUAAGUUGCUUCGGCGGGCUCGCCCCGGUGCCCCCGUGCCCGGAAUCGGCGCCCGCCGGAGGCCCCAAACUCUCGGUUUUAUACUUGGCUUCUGAGUGGCGUAAAGCAAACAAAUAAAUCA